rnacentral:misc_RNA from 1 species
GCUGAUUUUGAUGAGGAUGAAUUGGAGGCGGAACUUGAAGAACUAGAAGGUGCUGAAUUGGAAGAACAACUUCUUCAGCCUGCAACCACAGCUCCAGCAGCUCCAGUGCAGGUUCCAGCAGGGAGGCAACCAGCCCGUCCUGUUCCUCAGAAGCGCACAGCUGAGGAAGAUGAACUUGCUGCCUUACAGGCUGAGAUGGCACUUUGAGCAGGUAUUGUUUACCAGAAUGUUGAAGAGCUUUUUUAAUGAUUGGUCAAUACUGUAUUAUGGAGUUUAUGCAACUUUCACGCAUCAUAUGUGCAUUUAAUGGUCUGAACAGAAUGUAUAUAGAGAUGGCGUAAACUAAAGAAACUGUGCCAUUUU